UGGGGAAUAUUGGACAAUGGGCGCAAGCCUGAUCCAGCCAUGCCGCGUGGGUGAUGAAGGCCCUAGGGUUGUAAAGCCCUUUCGGCGGGGAAGAUAAUGACGGUACCCGCAGAAGAAGCCCCGGCUAACUUCGUGCCAGCAGCCGCGGUAAUACGAAGGGGGCUAGCGUUGCUCGGAAUUACUGGGCGUAAAGCGCACGUAGGCGGCUUUCUAAGUCGGGGGUGAAAUCCUGGAGCUCAACUCCAGAACUGCCUUCGAUACUGGAGAGCUUGAGUCCGGGAGAGGUGAGUGGAACUGCGAGUGUAGAGGUGAAAUUCGUAGAUAUUCGCAAGAACACCAGUGGCGAAGGCGGCUCACUGGCCCGGUACUGACGCUGAGGUGCGAAAGCGUGGGGAGCAAACA
rnacentral:rRNA from 2 species